rnacentral:misc_RNA from 1 species
AAAGUGCGAUAAGUGGUAUCAAUUGCAGAAUCAACUAAUUACCGACUCUUUGAACGCAAAAGGCGCCCGGGAGAAGCUUCUUGUGAGUGAUCCCCGUGCAUGCCGCAUCUCUCAGUGUCGAACAAAAACUCAGUGAAGAGCGCGAGGCAACUCGGUCUCUUUGCAAACUCGAGUCUCGGCUUGGGGCCCUCUCUUCUGGGAGGGUUUCGGUCGGGUGGAUGCUCUUGAGGAACUCGUUUUCUUCAAAACCACCAACGGGCAUCGAAAUCGAAACACGAAUUUCAAACAAGCAUUGCGCCUUUGAUUGAAAAAAACAAACUUUUUGUUACAGACCUGAGUGCGGCAGGACCACCCGCCGAACUUAA